rnacentral:rRNA from 1 species
AUUGAACGCUGGCGGCAUGCUUUACACAUGCAAGUCGAACGGUAACAGGCCUUCGGGUGCCGACGAGUGGCGAACGGGUGAGUAAUGCAUCGGAACGUGCCCAGAGGUGGGGGAUAACGCAGCGAAAGCUGUGCUAAUACCGCAUGUGAUCUGAGGAUGAAAGCGGGGGACCAAGCAGCAAUGUUUGGCCUCGCGCCUCUGGAGCGGCCGAUGUCAGAUUAGGUAGUUGGUGGGGUAAAGGCCUACCAAGCCGACGAUCUGUAGCUGGUCUGAGAGGACGACCAGCCACACUGGGACUGAGACACGGCCCAGACUCCUACGGGAGGCAGCAGUGGGGAAUUUUGGACAAUGGGCGCAAGCCUGAUCCAGCAAUGCCGCGUGCGGGAAGAAGGCCUUCGGGUUGUAAACCGCUUUUGUACGGAACGAAAAGGCUCUGGCUAAUACCUGGGGCUGAUGACGGUACCGUAAGAAUAAGCACCGGCUAACUACGUG